rnacentral:lncRNA from 1 species
AUUGCCUAAUAUUUUCAGUGAUACAGCCAGUACGUUGAUACUCGAAGAUAUUAGGCAGUAAGAUCAAAGGGAAAAUAUACGAAUUACCGAUAAAAAUGUAACUCUGUUUGAGCAGUUUCCACAUUAGGAGCACACUCCUGUAUAUAAAGUCCGUAUAGUGUGAAUAUGCACGAGCAUAACGUAUCAACUGAGAUAUGUAAACACAAUACGAAGGA